UACGAAGGGUGCAAACGUUGCUCGGAAUUAUUGGGCGUAAAGCGCACGUAGGCGGCUUAGUAAGUUGGAUGUGAAAUCCCUCGGCUUAACCAAGGAAGUGCAUCCAAAACUACUGAGCUUGAGUACUAAAGAGGAUCGCGGAAUUCCCGGUGUAGAGGUGAAAUUCGUAGAUAUCGGGAGGAACACCAGUGGCGAAGGCGACUACCUGGCCUGUUCUUGACGCUGAGGCGCGAAAGCUAGGGGAGCAAACGGG
rnacentral:rRNA from 1 species